AGGGCACAUCAGUUCAGGCUGAGCAAAGUGGUUCCCAUGCAGUUUCUGAUGAAGAAAAUGAUCAAUUUUGGUGCCUAGAUGAUGUCCCUGUGGAAGCAAAUAAUUCCUUAGAUGAUUCAACUAGUAAAGAUGCUUCUUUCUAUCGCUUUGUGAAACCACCAGCAAACCUUGUUAUCCUUGAAGUGGAUUGCUUGGAUACCAGUGGUGAUGGUGGAGAAUUAGAAUCAUACCUGGUAUGACUUAUGUUUGCACCUUUUCUUUAUAUAUAAAUAAUUAAGAAAGUUUAAUUAGGAGGUGGAAUAAUGUAUAUAAAGACUUCUCUUUCUUGGAAAUUCUUUGGAUGAUGAAACCUAUGAAUAUAAUCUUAUCUUGUCUUUUUGGAAA